rnacentral:rRNA from 1 species
AACGAACGCUGGCGGCAUGCCUAACACAUGCAAGUCGAACGAACCCUUCGGGGUUAGUGGCGCACGGGUGCGUAACACGUGGGAAUCUGCCCUUGGCUUCGGAAUAACAGUUAGAAAUGACUGCUAAUACCGGAUGAUGACGAAAGUCCAAAGAUUUAUCGGCCAGGGAUGAGCCCGCGUAGGAUUAGGUAGUUGGUGGGGUAAAGGCCUACCAAGCCGACGAUCCUUAGCUGGUCUGAGAGGAUGAUCAGCCACACUGGGACUGAGACACGGCCCAGACUCCUACGGGAGGCAGCAGUGGGGAAUAUUGGACAAUGGGGGCAGCCCUGAUCCAGCAAUGCCGCGUGAGUGAUGAAGGCCUUAGGGUUGUAAAGCUCUUUUACCCGGGAUGAUAAUGACAGUACCGGGAGAAUAAGCUCCGGCUAACUCCGUGCCAGCAGCCGCAGUAAAAC